rnacentral:misc_RNA from 1 species
GAACGCACCUUGCGCCUUUUGGUAUUCCGAAAGGCAUGCCUGUUUGAGUGUCAUGAAAUCUCAAUCCCCCCGGGUUUAUGAUCUGGGUUGGGACUUGGACUUGGGUGCUGCCGGUUACAUGGCUCGCCUCAAAUGACUUAGUGGAUCUCUCUGCAUCCGUGACAGACGUAAUAAGUUUCGUCUUGUCCCUUGCUGUCUGAGUCUGCUCCUAACCUGCCAUUGUGCACUUUUAGACUCUGACCUCAAAUCAGGUAGGACUACCCGCUGAACUUAAG